GUUUUCUAAAUUUAUAAUAGAUUUUAUUUUUUAGCAAAAAGCUAAAAUAUAUUUAAAAGACGAGAAGACCCUAUAAAUCUUUAUAUUUAGGUUAUUAUAAUUUUAUAGAUUUUUUUUGUUAUAAUAAUUGAUAAUAUUUUAUUGGGGUGAUAUUAAAAUUUGAUAAACUUUUAAUUGUUUAAAUCAUUAAUUUAUGAAUAAUUGAUCCGUUAUUAGUGAUUAAAAAAAUAAGUUACCUUAGGGAUAACAG
rnacentral:rRNA from 1 species